rnacentral:lncRNA from 1 species
AAAAUGAGUUGGGGUACGGGAUGCUGCUGCGAUAAAGAAAUGUUUAUUAGGCGAUUAUCCUUUGCCUUAAACGAAAGAAGCAGCUAUUAGGUGGUACAGACUAAGCGGCCUUGGGGUAAUGGUGAUUUCUUCACUGCAGCUCCUUGAAGAGUACUUCGGAUGAAUACCGAAUGGUGACUGGACUGCUAGCUGUCUUCCGCAGUCUUCCCCCAGCAGUGGAGUCGGAGGGGAGUAAUGUUAGAGAGAAUGGCUGGUGCAUAAUGAUUUCCUUUUAAGAAGACAGCACCUCCGUCAGCAUGGUAACACCUAGUUUCACAAUCAGACAUUGAUUCAACAGUGACUCAAAGUGAGGAGCACUCCAAACUGAGUCAUCCACGGCACUUCCUACAGCAGUUCCUUAUGUUCAUCUUGCUUUAAAGUUGGAAGGAUUUUCACAGUGCUGUUGGGAAAACUCGCACGCAUUUGAGGGGCUGCCACUCCAGGUGGAUGCCCAGCUAAAAUGGAGUGGGCUUCGGCUCCUUGAGGCGUUGGAAAAGGACUGCGUUGUCAACAGUGAGCUCCUCACUACUCUCUAA